GAUGAAGAACGUAGCGAAAUGCGUUACGUAAUGUGAAUUGCAGAAUUCAGUGAAUCAUCGAAUCUUUGAACGCAUAUUGCGCUCUCUGGUAUUCCGGAGAGCAUGCUUGUUUGAGUAUCAGUAAACACCUCAACUUCCAUAUCUUUUUUGAAAUGGGAGUUGGACUUGAGUGAUCCCAACGCUUUUCCUCACCGAAAAGUGGCGGGUUACUUGAAAUGCAGGUGCAGCUGGACUUUUCUCUGAGCUAUAAGCAUAUCUAUUUAGUCUGCCUAAAAAACAGAUUAUUACCUUUGCUGCAGCUAACAUAAAGGAGAUUAGUUCUUGUGCUGACUGAUGCAGGAUUCACAAAGACAGCUUCGGCCGACUUUGUAAACUCGAUCUCAAAUCAAGUAAGACUACCCGCUGAACUUAAGCAUAUCAAUAAGCGGAGGA
rnacentral:misc_RNA from 1 species